rnacentral:rRNA from 1 species
CUGGCUCAGGACGAACGCUGGCGGCAUGCCUAACACAUGCAAGUCGAACGGAGUUAUUAUUCAGAAGUUCUUCGGGAUGGAAGGAUAAGAACUUAGUGGCGGACGGGUGAGUAACGCGUGGGUAACCUGCCCUUUUGUGGGGAACAACUUCGAGAAAUCGGAGCUAAUACCGCAUAAUAAUAGAGGAUCGCAUGAUUCUUUAAGGAAAGAUGGCCUCUGAAGAUGCUAUCGCAAAAGGAUGGACCCGCGUCUGAUUAGCUAGUUGGAAGGGUAACGGCCUACCAAGGCAACGAUCAGUAGCCGGUCUGACAGGGUGAACGGCCACAUUGGGACUGAGACACGGCCCAAUUUUCUACGGGAGGCAGAAGUGGGGAAUCUUCCGCAAUGAGCAAAAGCCUGACGGAUCAAUGCCGCGUGAAUGAAGAAGGCCUUCAGGUAGUAAAACUCUGUCCUUAUCCAAGACAGGUAUGUAUGUGACUAAUGCACCUAAUAGGACGGUAGAUAAAAAAGAAGCCCCGGCUAAGUGCGUGCCAGCAGCCGCGGGUGAUAGAUAGGGGGCGAGCGUUGUCCGGAAUCACUGGGCGUAAAGGGCGCGUAGGCGGUUUAAUAAGUCAGUGGUGAAAACUGAGGGCUCAACCCUCAGCCUGCCACUGAUACUGUUAGACUUGAGUAUGGAAGAGGAGAAUGGAAUUCCUAGUGUAGCGGUGAAAUGCGUAGAUAUUAGGAGGAACACCAGUGGCGAAGGCGAUUCUCUGGGCCAAGACUGACGCUGAGGCGCGAAAGCGUGGGGAGCAAACAGGAUUAGGAUACCCUGGUAGUCCACGCCGUAAACGAUGGAUACUAGGUGUUAGUAGUUUCGAUGUUACUAGUGCCGGAGUAAACACAAUAAGUAUCCCGCCUGGGGAGUACGGUCGCAAGACUGAAACUCAAAGGAAUUGACGGGGGCCCGCACAAGCGGUGGAGCAUGUGGUUUAAUUCGACGCAACGCGAAGAACCUUACCAAGACUUGACAUCCUCCUGACAAGAUAUGUAAUGUAUCUCUUUUCUUCGGAGACAGGAGAGACAGGUGGUGCAUGGUUGUCGUCAGCUCGUGUCGUGAGAUGUUGGGUUAAGUCCCGCAACGAGCGCAACCCCUGCCCGCAGUAGCCAGCACGUUGAGGUGGGCACUCUGCGGGGACUGCCGGGGACAACCCGGAGGAAGGCGGGGACGACGUCAAAUCAUCAUGCCCCUUAUGGCCUGGGCGACACACGUGCUACAAUGGCGCCGACAGAGGGAUGCGAAGCGGCGACGCGGAGCGAACCCCAAAAACGGCGCCUCAGUUCGGAUUGGAGUCUGCAACCCGACUCCAUGAAGCUGGAUUCGCUAGUAAUCGCGCAUCAGCCACGGCGCGGUGAAUAAGUUCCCGGGCCUUGCACUCACCGCCCGUCA